rnacentral:rRNA from 1 species
UACGUAGGGGGCGAGCGUUAUCCGGAUUCACUGGGUGUAAAGGGAGCGUAGACGGCCAUGCAAGCCAGGGGUGAAAGCCCGGGGCCCAACCCCGGGACUGCCCUUGGAACUGCAUGGCUGGAGUGCUGGAGAGGCAAUCGGAAUUCCGUGUGUAGCGGUGAAAUGCGUAGAUAUACGGAGGAACACCAGUGGCGAAGGCGGAUUGCUGGACAGUAACUGACGCUGAGGCGCGAAAGCGUGGGGAGCAAACAGG